CUUGUGGUUUAUUAUAACUGCAUAUAUCAUGCAAAUAUCCACACACAAAGGGGGCGGUAACCAGUCCCCCCAAUUCCCGUUUCCCAGUUCUCAGCUCCCAGCUCGCAGUUCGCCAAAAACCCCCGAGCAACCGAAAAUCCAAACACAAACACAAACACAAGCUGCAGCAGGAGCUCGAGGGUGAGGUCUGAUGGGUGGGAAGAGGAUGGGGGGCGGUGGGUGGAGUAGGAGGUAAGGAGAUCGAGGUCCUUGUAUCAGAGCAUGUUUGGUUUCUGGGGUGUGGCUGGCCUUUUUUGAGGGCUGCAGUGACAGGUCCUUGCACAAAUUCGGUUUUUGCAUGCUUAGGUCGCCUUCUUUUCCCCCAGCUCGUUUACGAGAAUUAUUUUAUAAAUUUUCAUAGUUUUCACUUUGAUUAAAAGUGCGGUCAUGGCUUCUGCGGCCUGGAUUUCAGCUAUCCUGGCCAGCUCCAUUACCAUGCGCAAAAUGGAAAAGCCGGCCGCAAAAGUGCACGCAACGGAAAUCGAGUGAAGUCCUGCGACAGCGUCUUACGGAAAAUCCUGUUUCAAUUGGUCCAAGAAACAACUUCCCCAGGGUUUUCUCUUUUUUCGGCUUAAUUUCCAUCCCUCGUUGAUUUGGAAAUAAUGUCAGAUAUGUUCGUUUCUGAAAUAUAUAAUGGAAAAUUAAAAGGUUGUUUCUUGCAAAUCGCUGCAUGGCAUAUGGCAUUUAAAUCGCAUGAAUCCCUUCAUGCUUCAGUAUAUUUUAGUGUUGGUCAAUAAAAUGCAUAACCCUGGAUUUUGUUGCAACAACCUUAACAGGCACUAAUGAUGGCAAUACGGAACAACUUCUGGGUUGACAAAUACCCCAAUUUGAAGCGUUAGCCAAUUUGUGGCAAUGUCCACAAUUGAUUUAGAUUUGCGCUCAGUGCAGCCGCACACUUUGGAUUAGCCAAGUAUUCAUUGCAUUAUUGGCAUUAAUUGCUCAGCCAGCAAAAACCGCACCACAUUCCUCCUUCGAGAGUAUUUCAUUUUAUUUCAAUAUUUGACAAAUGCAUUUAUAAUUGCUGGCCGCAGAUAAAAUCCAAUGUGCCAUCGUCAUCGUCUUCCGUGCAGUUUGUAAUUGGAACUCUGAUUUAACAGGCAAAUUCCAAACUGCACUGCCGUCCUGUGGUUGGCCAAAAGCUAUCGACUACCAAACUAUCGCUUAUAUAUGUACAUUUAAUCUGAAUAUUAUUGAUAAAUAACUAAAGUGCAGCAAGCCCAGA
rnacentral:sRNA from 1 species